AGUGAACGCUGGCGGUAGGCCUAACACAUGCAAGUCGAACGGCAGCACAGUAAGAGCCUGCUCUUACGGGUGGCGAGUGGCGGACGGGUGAGGAAUACAUCGGAAUCUACUUUUUCGUGGGGGAUAACGUAGGGAAACUUACGCUAAUACCGCAUACGACCUACGGGUGAAAGCAGUGGAUCUUCGGACCUUUCGCGAUUGAAUGAGCCGAUGUCGGAUUAGCUAGUUGGCGGGGUAAAGGCCCACCAAGGCGACGAUCCGUAGCUGGUCUGAGAGGAUGAUCAGCCACACUGGAACUGAGACACGGUCCAGACUCCUACGGGAGGCAGCAGUGGGGAAUAUUGGACAAUGGGCGCAAGCCUGAUCCAGCCAUACCGCGUGGGUGAAGAAGGCCUUCGGGUUGUAAAGCCCUUUUGUUGGGAAAGAAAAGCAGCAGGUUAAUACCCCGCUGUUCUGACGGUACCCAAAGAAUAAGCACCGGCUAACUUCGUG
rnacentral:rRNA from 1 species